UUUCCGUAGGUGAACCUGCGGAAGGAUCAUUAUCAUGUAAUUCAGUCCCCUUGGCUGUGUUAUAUAUAUACCCACUCUGCGUACCUUCUCCUGUUGCUUCCGCUGGGUGUGUAAUUCGCCCGGUGGAAGGGUAAAAAUAACCUCUGAGUAUUGAUGAAAUCUCUGUCUGAACCGAAUAGAAAGAAAAAUGUUAAAACUUUCAGCAACGGAUCUCUUGGUUCUC
rnacentral:misc_RNA from 1 species